GACGAACGCUGGCGGCAUGCCUAAUACAUGCAAGUCGAGCGAACAGAUGAGGUGCUUGCACUUCUGACGUUAGCGGCGAACGGGUGAGUAACACGUAAGGAAUCUACCUAUAAGCGGGGGAUAACAUUCGGAAACGGGUGCUAAUACCGCAUAAUAUCUUCUUCCGCAUGGAAGAAGAUUGAAAGACGGCUCUGCUGUCCCUUAUAGAUGACCUUGCGGUGCAUUAGUUAGUUGGUGGGGUAACGGCCUACCAAGACGAUGAUGCAUAGCCGACCUGAGAGGGUGAUCGGCCACAUUGGGACUGAGACACGGCCCAAACUCCUACGGGAGGCAGCAGUAGGGAAUCUUCCGCAAUGGGCGAAAGCCUGACGGAGCAAUGCCGCGUGAGUGAAGAAGGCCUUCGGGUCGUAAAACUCUGUUAUAAGAGAAGAACAAAUUGUAGAGUAACUGCUACAGUCUUGACGGUAUCUUAUCAGAAAGCCACGGCUAACUACGUGCCAGCAGCCGCGGUAA
rnacentral:rRNA from 1 species